AGUGAACGCUGGCGGUAGGCCUAACACAUGCAAGUCGAACGGCAGCACAGUAAGAGCUUGCUCUUACGGGUGGCGAGUGGCGGACGGGUGAGGAAUACAUCGGAAUCUACUUUUUCGUGGGGGAUAACGUAGGGAAACUUACGCUAAUACCGCAUACGACCUACGGGUGAAAGCAGGGGAUCUUCGGACCUUGCGCGAUUGAAUGAGCCGAUGUGGGAUUAGCUAGUUGGCGGGGUAAAGGCCCACCAAGGCGACGAUCCGUAGCUGGUCUGAGAGGAUGAUCAGCCACACUGGAACUGAGACACGGUCCAGGCUCCUACGGGAGGCAGCAGUGGGGAAUAUUGGACCAUGGGCGCAAGCCUGAUCCAGCCAUACCGCGUGGGUGAAGAAGGCCUUCGGGUUGUAAAGCCCUUUUGUUGGGAAAGAAAAGCAGCAGGUUAAUACCCCGCUGUUCUGACGGUACCCAAAGAAUAAGCACCGGCUAACUUCGUG
rnacentral:rRNA from 1 species